GUGGGGAAUUUUGGACAAUGGGGGCAACCCUGAUCUAGCCAUGCCGCGUGCGGGAAGAAGGCCUUCGGGUUGUAAACCGCUUUUGUCAGGGAAGAAAUCCUUUGGGUUAAUACCUCGGAGGGAUGACGGUACCUGAAGAAUAAGCACCGGCUAACUACGUGCCAGCAGCCGCGGUAAUACGUAGGGUGCGAGCGUUAAUCGGAAUUACUGGGCGUAAAGCGUGCGCAGGCGGUUUUGUAAGAUCGAUGUGAAAUCCCCGGGCUCAACCUGGGAACUGCAUUGGUGACUGCAAGGCUGGAGUGCGGCAGAGGGGGAUGGAAUUCCGCGUGUAGCAGUGAAAUGCGUAGAUAUGCGGAGGAACACCGAUGGCGAAGGCAAUCCCCUGGGCCUGCACUGACGCUCAUGCACGAAAGCGUGGGGAGCAAACAGGAUUAGAUACCCUUGUAGUCC
rnacentral:rRNA from 1 species